UGAGGAAUAUUGGACAAUGGGCGCAAGCCUGAUCCAGCCAUGCCGCGUGCAGGAUGACGGUCCUAUGGAUUGUAAACUGCUUUUGUACGGGAAGAAACACCGGUUCGUGAACCGGCUUGACGGUACCGUAAGAAUAAGGAUCGGCUAACUCCGUGCCAGCAGCCGCGGUAAUACGGAGGAUCCAAGCGUUAUCCGGAAUCAUUGGGUUUAAAGGGUCCGUAGGCGGCCUUAUAAGUCAGUGGUGAAAUCUCCCGGCUCAACCGGGAAAUGGCCAUUGAUACUGUAGGGCUUGAAUUACUAGGAAGUAACUAGAAUAUGUAGUGUAGCGGUGAAAUGCUUAGAGAUUACAUGGAAUACCAAUUGCGAAGGCAGGUUACUACUAGUGGAUUGACGCUGAGGG
rnacentral:rRNA from 1 species